rnacentral:rRNA from 1 species
UACGCAGGGUGCAAGCGUUGUCCGGAAUUAUUGGGCGUAAAGAGCUCGUAGGCGGUCUGUCGCGUCGGCUGUGAAAUCCCGAGGCUCAACCUCGGGUCUGCAGUCGAUACGGGCAAACUGGAGUGUUGCAGGGGAGACUGGAAUUCCUGGUGUAGCGGUGAAAUGCGCAGAUAUCAGGAGGAACACCGGUGGCGAAGGCGGGUCUCUGGGCAACAACUGACGCUGAGGAGCGAAAGCGUGGGGAGCGAACAGG